rnacentral:rRNA from 1 species
CUUGCUCCUGGAUUCAGCGGCGGACGGGUGAGUAAUGCCUAGGAAUCUGCCUGGUAGUGGGGGACAACGUUUCGAAAGGAACGCUAAUACCGCAUACGUCCUACGGGAGAAAGCAGGGGACCUUCGGGCCUUGCGCUAUCAGAUGAGCCUAGGUCGGAUUAGCUAGUUGGUGGGGUAAUGGCUCACCAAGGCGACGAUCCGUAACUGGUCUGAGAGGAUGAUCAGUCACACUGGAACUGAGACACGGUCCAGACUCCUACGGGAGGCAGCAGUGGGGAAUAUUGGACAAUGGGCGAAAGCCUGAUCCAGCCAUGCCGCGUGUGUGAAGAAGGUCUUCGGAUUGUAAAGCACUUUAAGUUGGGAGGAAGGGCAGUAAGCGAAUACCUUGCUGUUUUGACGUUACCGACAGAAUAAGCACCGGCUAACUCUGUGCCAGCAGCCGCGGUAAUACAGAGGGUGCAAGCGUUAAUCGGAAUUACUGGGCGUAAAGCGCGCGUAGGUGGUUUGUUAAGUUGGAUGUGAAAGCCCCGGGCUCAACCUGGGAACUGCAUCCAAAACUGGCAAGCUAGAGUACGGUAGAGGGUGGUGGAAUUUCCUGUGUAGCGGUGAAAUGCGUAGAUAUAGGAAGGAACACCAGUGGCGAAGGCGACCACCUGGACUGAUACUGACACUGAGGUGCGAAAGCGUGGGGAGCAA